ensembl:snRNA U6 U6 spliceosomal RNA
UUAUUUCAGCAGCAGAGAUACUUGAAUUGAAAUGAUACAGGGAAGAUUCGCAUGGCCCCUGUGCAAGG